UCCCUGGUGGUCUAGUGGUUAGGAUUUGGUACUUUCACUGCUGCAGCCCAGGUUCAAUCCCUGGUCUGGGAA
rfam:Sus scrofa isolate TJ Tabasco breed Duroc chromosome 1, whole genome shotgun sequence.